AGCCUCAGAGGGAGUUCCGCAACAAUGCCCAUCGGUGCGCCUGCCUAUAACCCGGCCUAAUUUGCAGCACAGUCGGCCGAUUAAUUAAAAAAUGCCAAAAAUCGGUCGAUUAAUUGGCUGGCCGAUCAAUUGGUCGACCUCUAGUACAGACAUUCCUCUCAUUGAUAGCGAGAGCUUGAAGGGGUGAUUUGGAAUGACAUUUUUUUUCAGGAGUCACGACAGUAGAGGCGGCGCAACUAUAACUACAUGUAAUUAUUCCCGCCCACUCUAAAGCGAUACUAAACUGCAGUGGAAACACAAGCAUAGCCGUGCUGAGCCGAGCCGAGCCAAGCCGUACCACGCAGUGGAAAAGCACCAUAAAACUACUGACACUUAAACUGAUCUUUGGACCAAGAGAAUAACAGACAAUCUGCAGAAAGGCCUAAAAUGCAGUUUUGUCAUUAUCAUCAGCAGGAAAUUACCUACAAGAGCAUGUGCAGAACCCAGCUGUGUGUCAAUCAAGAGCGAACAUUCCAUCAAAGACUUUCCUUCUGCAUUUAGCGAUGGAACCGUGACUUCUGACCCCAGUGUCAUCAGCAGGAAAAGACCCAGAGGAGCAUCUCCAGAACCCAGCUAUGUGUCAAUGAAGAGCAACAGAUCUAUAAAGCAACCCCCCGAACUCACUGAUGAACCCAGGUACAGUAAAGGCUGCUUCACACUGCCCUAACAAAUGCUAACAAGUACUGACAUUUAGAUUUAGAAGGUGUGGACACAACAGCUGUGUUUUCCAUCAGUGCCA
ensembl:lncRNA